AUGGGGGACAACCAGGGGUUGGUAAAGGCGUUGGAGAAGCUAGCUGAGCUCAUCACUGUCAAGGCAGAGGGUGUGGCUUCCCCAGGUGCGCUUGUUCUUCAGCCUGAGGUGAUACAGAAAAUAGAACUGAUGCCAAAUGAAAUCAAGAUGGAAGGGGUCACAAACUACCUAAUCUGGUCCGGAAGGGCAUUGCUAAUAUUGAGGACAAAGGGGCUGGAAGGCUAUGUCAGAGGGGAAGUAGAUGAACCGGUGAACAGGGCAAGUGAGGAGUGGAAGAAGUGGAGUGUCAUUGACUCUCUGGUGGUGGCAUGGCUGCUGAACUCCUUGACCCCAUCCAUUGCAGCAGCCGUGGAGACUCUUCCCCAUGCAGCAGAGGUAUGGAAAACCCUGGAAACAUUGUACUCCAGGAAAGGGAACAUAAUGCUUAUGGCACAGAUUGAGGAUAGAGUAAAUGAGCUAAAACAAGGGGAUAAGUCGGUGAUGGAGUAUGUAGCAGAAUUGCAGCAUUUGUGGGCUGACUUAGACCACUAUGAUCCACUGGAGUUACCACAUUCAGAAUGUAUAGUUGCUACUAAGAAGUGGGUAGAGCGUAAGAGAGUGAUGAAAUUCUUGAAGGGACUUAGCUCAGAAUUUGAAGGAAGGCUUGCUGGGUUGUUUCAUCAGCCAAAGCUCCCCUCGCUUGAGGAGGCAGUUGCAGCAAUGGCACAGGAGGAGGUCAGGUUGAAGUUGACCAGGACUGGAGAAGCGAAUGCAUCACGCUCAGCAUUUACUGUGUUUGAAUGGAAGGAGACAAGAGAGUGCUUCAACUGUGGAGAGAAAGGUCACAUAAGCAUCAAUUGCACAGCACAACGCAGAGAAAUACGUGGUAGGGGAAGAGGUUACAGCCGAGGUGGAUACCGGGGAGUUAGAGGCAGAGGUAACUCGAGGGGUUCGAAUUAUUCCAGUGGCUUCAAAGCAAACUUGGCUAACUUGGCAACGCAAGAAGAAGGGACAUCAACAACCUCUCAAGGGGAGUCGGAGAGUAGAAGCCAGGAGGACAACACCUUUGGGAACUUUGCCCACUUUGUCUACACAGGGGAAGGAGAGGAUGACUGGAAGGAAACUUGGGACAGGAACCAGGCGUAG
rnacentral:rRNA from 1 species